CACGUAGGGCGCAAGCGUUGUCCGGAAUUAUUGGGCGUAAAGAGCUCGUAGGCGGUCCGUCACGUCCGCUGUGAAAACCCAGGGCUCAACCCUGGGCUUGCAGUGGAUACGGGCAGACUAGAGGUAGGUAGGGGAGAAUGGAAUUCCCGGUGUAGCGGUGAAAUGCGCAGAUAUCGGGAGGAACACCGGUGGCGAAGGCGGUUCUCUGGGCCUUACCUGACGCUGAGGAGCGAAAGCGUGGGGAGCGAA
rnacentral:rRNA from 1 species